rnacentral:rRNA from 1 species
CCUACGGGAGACAGCAGUGAGGAAUAUUGGUCAAUGGCCGGAAGGCUGAACCAGCCAAGCCGCGUGAAGGACGAAGGUGCCAAGCAUUGUAAACUUCUUUUGUCAAGGGACAAAAUCAGGCUCGAGAGCCUGACCGAGGGUACUUGAAGAAAAAGCAUCGGCUAACUCCGUGCCAGCAGCCGCGGUAAUACGGAGGAUGCGAGCGUUAUCCGGAUUUAUUGGGUUUAAAGGGUGCGUAGGCGGACUGUUAAGUCAGCGGUAAAAGCCCGGGGCUCAACCCCGGCGAGCCGUUGAAACUGGCAGUCUUGAGAUGUCGAGAGGUAUGCGGAAUGCGCAGUGUAGCGGUGAAAUGCUUAGAUAUUGCGCAGAACUCCGAUUGCGAAGGCAGCAUACCGGCGGCGCUCUGACGCUGAGGCACGAAAGCGUGGGUAUCGAACAGGAUUAGAUACCCGAGUAGUC